rnacentral:lncRNA from 1 species
AUUAUUUUUGUUUUGUUUUCUUUGUUUUUUCUCUGUUCUGGUUUUGGUUUGCUUUCUUAAAAAAAUUGCAUGUUUUUCCUUUGGUUUUUGAGUUACAAUUAUGAGUAUUUUUCUUAGUUCUCUUGACUAAAGUCUCGUGGUGUGAUGUGAAAAAUUUGUUGUGCAUUUUUAGUAUGAUAGAUAAGACUAAAGGCAAUUUUAUUUUCUUUUGUUUUUUAGCCAGUUAGCCAAAAAGCCAAUCCUAAAAUAAUUGCAUCCCUUGUUUGAAACCCCCUUGAGCCUAUUAUCCUUUUUUUAAUUUAAAACUCAUUAUAAGCCGAGAAGUGAAAAACAAUGUUAUCACCCUAUUCAAAGGGUUGAAAGAGUCUUGUUUGGAGUGUGUGGGGUUGAAUAAUUAUGUUUGUAAUAUUUCAGAAGUUGGCAGAAAAAGAAAAAAAAAAUAGAAAAGAAAAAAAAGGAAUGAAAAAAUAGAAGGAUAAGAGGAAGGAAAAAAAAGGCAUUAUGUCAAUACAUACUCCUUCAACAAAAAAGAAAGAAUAAAAAGAGGAAAGAGAAGACAAAACAAUUGCUAUAGAGUUGUUCAAGUGAAUGAAAUAUUUUGUAAAUUC